GCUGAGCUAUGUAACGUGAGCUUGUUACCAAGUGGGGCAUUAAGGUGUUUGAAUAAUUUGGUACUGAAUCUAAGGUUGGCUUGUGAGCUAUCUUUGGCCUGUCCGUUUCCAAGUUGGGUAGUGAACCUUAUGUUAUAAGCUAAUGCUUGAAACAUAUUGUUCUUAAAAUUGAGGACAAUGCGUGAGGCUGGCUUCACAGAGCAGCGAUUACCUCAUGUUCUCAACGAUGGAAGGAUAACAGGUUAAUGGUUCACUUUGUCAAUUAGCCUUGGAAUCCAAACCAAAUUGGACAAACAUUUUU
rnacentral:SRP_RNA from 1 species